CCGCCGGCCUCCAUUGGUGAAGAGCCCACAGCGCGGCUCACAAUUAGCCAACGGGCGACGGGGGUGGGCGGACCCACUCCCCUGGCGACCCGCCCCCAGCUCCGAGGCACGGCUUGCCAUUGGGUGGAGGAGAGUGACGCAACGGCUGCAGGCCACGUGGUGUUGUUUUCAUUGCGGGGGCGGCGGGGCGGAGCGAGGGAAGGGAGAGACCCGGCAGCUGGGCCCGGCCUGCGGGGUUGUAAUUGAAAGAUGCUGACCAGGGCGUGCGCAGGCCAUUAACAGAGGAAGCUGGAAAUGAGACAUCCUGUCUGAUGCAACCGUCCGGACACCCAAUAUGGUUGACCGUGACACCCAACUGCCUAUAAUUAGAGUGAUUACUAGUGUUUCGGCACUCGGAAUGAGAGCUGGGAAAGAAUAGACCCGCGAUGGGUAAAUGUACGUGGCAGUCUGUGGUUAAAGGGGAGAGGAGGAGCUCUGAGAGCAGACAAGCCUUGAGCUAAUGGUCUAUCAUUCAAGACAAUGCAGGGAGCUUCAGUCACCGAGUUUCUGUUCGCUGGGACCUCUGAAGACCAGCCGGAUUACAGACUUGGGUUCAUCAGAUCAG
ensembl:lncRNA